AUGGCGCCGGUGCACGUGCUGGUGUUCCCCUGGCCGCUGCAGGGCCACAUCAACUCCAUGCUCCCCUUCGCCGCGGGCCUCCUCGGCGCCGGCGUGCACGUCACCUUCCUGCACACGGAGCACAACCUCCGCCGGGUCGACCGCGCCGCUUCGCCACGCCUCCGCUUCGCGUCCGUGCCGGACGGCCUCCCCGACGACCACCCGCGCUCGGUCGCCCACCUCAGCGAGAUCGGCAGGUCCCUGAGGCCGAGCGCCAGCGCCGCGUACCGCGCCCUGCUCGCCCCGGCGCUCUCCGCUGGAAGCCACGCUGAUGGCGGGUUCCCGCCGGUGUCGUGCGUCGUGGUCGAUGGCUUGCUGCCGUUCGCCAUCGAUAUCGCUGAGGAGCUCGGCGUGCCGGCGCUCGCUUUCCGCACGGAGAGCGCGUGCAGCAUAUUGGCCUACCUCUCCGUGCCCGGGCUCGUGGAGCUCGGCGAGGUUCCCGUCCCUGUAGGCGCCGACCUCGACGAGCCGGUCCGUGGCGUUCCGGGGAUGGAGGGCUUCCUGCGGCGGCGAGAUCUUCCAAGUUCUUGCCGCGGCCACGGCGAGGUCGACGAACUCGACCCCAUGCUGCAGACACUCGCCAAGUACACCGCUCACAGCUGCACGGCUCGGGCGCUCAUAUUCAACACGACCGCCUCACUGGAGCGGUCGGCGCUCGCACACAUCGCGCCGCACAUGCGCGACGUCUUCGCCAUAGGCCCUCUCCACGCCAUGUCGGCCGCGCCGGCGUCGGCCACCAGCCUGUGGCGCGAGGACGAUGGCUGCAUGGCGUGGCUCGAUGGGCACGCGGACCGGUCCGUCGUGUACGUGAGCCUGGGGAGCCUCGCCAUCAUUUCGCGGGAGCAGUUCACCGAGUUCCUGUCCGGCCUCGUCGGCGCCGGCUACGCGUUCCUGUGGGCGUUCCGGUCGGACAUGGUCGGCGCGAGCCAGAGCGCCGCUCUCCAGGAAGCCGUCGACGCGGCGGGGAAGAGAAAGGUGCGCGUCGUGGACUGGGCACCGCAGCGGGACGUGCUGCGGCACCGCGCCGUGGGGUGCUUCCUGACGCAUGCCGGGUGGAACUCCACGCUGGAGGGCAUCGUGGAGGGCGUGCCUCUGGUGUGCUGGCCGUUUUUCGCGGACCAGCAGAUCAACAGCCGGUUCACGGCCGCCGUGUGGGGGACAGGGCUGGACAUGAAGGACGUGUGCGAGAGGGCCGUCGUGGAGCGGAUGGUGAGGGAGGCCAUGGAGUCCGGCGAGCUAAGGAGGUCGGCUCAGGCGCUGUCGCAGCAGGUGAGGAGGGACAUCGCCCAAGGGGGCUCCUCGGUGUCGGAAUUCGAGAGGCUCGUGAAAUUUAUCAAGGAGCUCACCGCCAACGGCGCCCACAAAUAG
rnacentral:rRNA from 1 species